AACGAACGUUAGCGGCGCGCUUAACACAUGCAAGUCGUGCGAGAAAGGGCUUCGGCCCCGGUACAGCGGCGCACGGGUGAGUAACACGUAGGUAAUCUACCCCCAGGUGGAGGAUAACCUUCCGAAAGGAGGGCUAAUACUGCAUGAGACCACGACCUCGCAAGGGGAAGGGGUCAAAGCCGGCCUCUCUACAGAAGCUGGCGCCAGGGGAUGAGCCUGCGGCCCAUCAGCUAGUUGGUAGGGUAAUGGCCUACCAAGGCGAAGACGGGUAGCUGGUCUGAGAGGAUGAUCAGCCACACUGGAACUGAGACACGGUCCAGACUCCUACGGGUGGCAG
rnacentral:rRNA from 1 species